rfam:Rattus norvegicus chromosome 14, whole genome shotgun sequence.
GGGGAUUUAGCUCAGUGGUAGAGCGCUUGCCUAGCACGUGCAAGGCCCUGGGUUCGGUCCCCAGCUCCG